AGAGUUUGAUCAUGGCUCAGGAUGAACGCUGGCGGCGUGCCUAACACAUGCAAGUCGAGCGAUUCUCUUCGGAGAAGAGCGGCGGACGGGUGAGUAACGCGUGGGUAACCUGCCUCAUACACAUGGAUAACAUACCGAAAGGUAUGCUAAUACAGGAUAACAUAAGAGAUUCACAUGGAUUUCUUAUCAAAGCUCCGGCGGUAUGAGAUGGACCCGCGUCUGAUUAGCUAGUUGGUAAGGUAACGGCUUACCAAGGCGACGAUCAGUAGCCGACCUGAGAGGGUGAUCGGCCACAUUGGAACUGAGACACGGUCCAAACUCCUACGGGAGGCAGCAGUGGGGAAUAUUGCACAAUGGGCGAAAGCCUGAUGCCAGCAACGCCGCGUGAGUGAUGAAGGCUUUCGGGUCGUAAAACUCUGUCCUCAAGGAAGAUAAUGACGGUACUUGAGGAGGAAGCCCCGGCUAACUACGUGCCAGCAGCCGC
rnacentral:rRNA from 1 species